GGUCAAGUUAUUAAGGGUGCAGGGCGGAUGCCUUGGCACUAGGAGCCGAUGAAGGACGUGAUAAGCUGCGAUAAGCUUCGGGGAGUUGCACGUAAACUUUGAUCCGAAGAUUUCCGAAUGAGGAAACUCACUUAGAGUAAUGUCUAAGUAUCAUUAAGUGAAUACAUAGCUUAAUGAGGGGAACUCAGGGAACUGAAACAUCUAAGUACCUGAAGGAAGAGAAAGAAAUUCGAUUCCGUAAGUAGCGGCGAGCGAACGCGGAUUAGCCCAAACCAAUAAAGUUUUCUUUAUUGGGGUUGCGGACAUAUCAUAACGAAGAGGUAUCGUAAUUGAAGAGGUUUGGAAAGACCCACCACAGAAGGUAAUAGUCCUGUAUGUUAAACGAGAAGACUUUAGAUAUGAUCCAGAGUACCACGGGACACGUGAAACCCUGUGGGAAGCAGGAGGGACCACCCUCCAAGGCUAAAUACUACCUAGUGACCGAUAGCGUAUAGUACCGUGAGGGAAAGGUGAAAAGAACCCCGGGAGGGGAG
rnacentral:rRNA from 1 species